UCUCCGUUGGUGAACCAGCGGAGGGAUCAUUACAGAGUUAUCUAACUCCCAAACCCAUGUGAACUUACCAUUUGUUGCCUCGGCAUGGUUGGCUUCUUAGAAGUCCCUUUUACCCAAAAGGAGCAGACCUGCCGGUGGCCCUAUAAACUCUAUGUUUUUUGUACAUCAUCUGAGUAACAACUAAAAAAAAAUGAAUCAAAACUUUCAACAACGGAUCUCUUGGUUCUGGCAUCGAUGAAGAACGCAGC
rnacentral:misc_RNA from 1 species